rnacentral:rRNA from 1 species
CCAGACUCCUACGGGAGGCAGCAGUGGGGAAUAUUGCACAAUGGGGGAAACCCUGAUGCAGCAACGCCGCGUGAGUGAAGAAGUAUUUCGGUAUGUAAAGCUCUAUCAGCAGGGAAGAAAAUGACAGUACCUGACUAAGAAGCCCCGGCUAACUACGUGCCAGCAGCCGCGGUAAUACGUAGGGGGCAAGCGUUAUCCGGAUUUACUGGGUGUAAAGGGAGCGUAGACGGCUGCGCAAGUCAGAAGUGAAAGCCCGGGGCUCAACCGCGGGACUGCUUUUGAAACUGUGUAGCUAGAGUGCAGGAGAGGUAAGUGGAAUUCCUAGUGUAGCGGUGAAAUGCGUAGAUAUUAGGAAGAACACCAGUGGCGAAGGCGGCUUGCUGGACAGUAACUGACGUUGAGGCUCGAAAGCGUGGGGAGCAAACAGGAUUAGAUACCCGGGUA